AUAAAGUUCCUUUGGGUAAGAAGUACUACUUGUCAUCAAAAUGGAUAAAAGGAGAUGUAUCUAGACGUAUUUUAGUUAUAGAUACUUCCCUUUUUAUCCAUUUUGAUGACAAGUAUUUUCAGACGAAGGGAGCUUAUA
rnacentral:pre_miRNA from 1 species